rnacentral:rRNA from 1 species
UACGUAGGUGGCAAGCGUUGUCCGGAUUUAUUGGGUUUAAAGGGUGCGUAGGCGGCUUGAUAAGUCGGUGGUGAAAGCCGAUCGCUUAACGAUCGAACUGCCAUUGAUACUGUUGGGCUUGAGUAUAGAUGAGGUAGGCGGAAUUGACAGUGUAGCGGUGAAAUGCAUAGAUAUUGUCAAGAACACCAAUUGCGAAGGCAGCUUACUAAGUUAUAACUGACGCUGAGGCACGAAAGUGCGGGGAUCAAACAGG